GAUGAACGCUGGCGGCGUGCCUAAUACAUGCAAGUCGAGCGAACGGACGAGAAGCUUGCUUCUCUGAUGUUAGCGGCGGACGGGUGAGUAACACGUGGAUAACCUACCUAUAAGACUGGGAUAACUUCGGGAAACCGGAGAUAAUACCGGAUAAUAUUUUGAACCGCAUGGUUCAAAAGUGAAAGACGGUCUUGCUGUCACUUAUAGAUGGAUCCGCGCUGCAUUAGCUAGUUGGUAAGGUAACGGCUUACCAAGGCAACGAUGCAUAGCCGACCUGAGAGGGUGAUCGGCCACACUGGAACUGAGACACGGUCCAGACUCCUACGGGAGGCAGCAGUAGGGAAUCUUCCGCAAUGGGCGAAAGCCUGACGGAGCAACGCCGCGUGAGUGAUGAAGGUCUUCGGAUCGUAAAACUCUGUUAUUAGGGAAGAACAUAUGUGUAAGUAACUGUGCACAUCUUGACGGUACCUAAUCAGAAAGCCACGGCUAACUACGUG
rnacentral:rRNA from 1 species